rnacentral:rRNA from 1 species
CCUACGGGCGGCUGCAGUCGAGAAUCAUUCACAAUGGGGGAAACCCUGAUGGUGCGACGCCGCGUGGGGGAAUGAAGGUCUUCGGAUUGUAAACCCCUGUCAUGUGGGAGCAAAUUAAAAAGAUAGUACCACAAGAGGAAGAGACGGCUAACUCUGUGCCAGCAGCCGCGGUAAUCCAGAGGUCUCAAGCGUUGUUCGGAAUCACUGGGCGUAAAGCGUGCGUAGGCUGUUUCGUAAGUCGUGUGUGAAAGGCGCGGGCUCAACCCGCGGACGGCACAUGAUACUGCGAGACUAGAGUAAUGGAGGGGGAACCGGAAUGCUCGGUGUAGCAGUGAAAUGCGUAGAUAUCGAGAGGAACACUCGUGGCGAAGGCGGGUUCCUGGACAUUAACUGACGCUGAGGCACGAAGGCCAGGGGAGCGAAAGGGAUUAGAUACCCCUGUAGUC